CUUCCCUGGCACUUUAAGUGUCCUAAAGGGUUGUUCGAGACUAGAACGUUGAUAGGUUGGGUGUGUAAGCGCUGCGAGGCGUUGAGCUAACCAAUACUAAUUGCCCGUGAGGCUUAACCAUACAACACCGAAGGGGUUUUGU
rnacentral:rRNA from 1 species